CCAUUGAUAGGUAUAUUGCUGUCCUACAUCCACUUCAUGCCGGCUUUCGCAAAACUGUGGCAAUUGUUGUGUUAUUAAUAAUAUGGCUUGUUAGUACACUAUCAGCUGUACCAUAUGCGCUAUUCCAUACAAUUGAAAGUAUGUUUAAAUUAAAGGACUUACCGGAGAGGAAAAUGUGCGUAGUAAAAUGGCCAUCAGAAAACUUUCGUACAUUGUACGGUGCAUACUUGAUUUUACUUCAAUAUGUUGUCCCUUUAAGUAUAAUAACAUUCUCAUAUAUACGUAUUACGUGUCGUAUAUGGGGCAAUGCACUGCCAGGGAACGAAACGUGUUUACCAAGAGGCAGAGCAAGGAACACCAACCGGAAAAAGGUAGGCAAUCAUUUUUGGUACGUGUAGUUGACACAAAAAAAAGUUGAAGAAUAACCUACAAUCAAAAACUGAUAUCUGCUUAAAACCCCCAUUUAUAAUAAAAUGAGAUAUUGUCUACAACUUAGAUUUUAUUUGAACGGUAGUUCCCCUUUUCUUCCUUAAAAAAAAAGAAUAACCUGUAAUCAAAAACUGCUGUCUGCUUUAACUCUCAAUUUAUGAUAAAUUGAGAGUCUUGUCUACAACUUAGAUUUUAUUUGAACGAUAGUUCCCCGUUUCUUCUUAAAAAAAAUAAUACUACUAAAUCCCGAUUGCAGCGUGCUAAUGUAAUUUUCGUAUAAAUUUUAAACAGUUUGAGCUAAAACCUUAAUAAUUAAACGUAUAUAGUAUAAAGGUACAACCCAGACUGUGAACACAAGCUUCUAAUUAAAGUCUUUCCUUUUUCAAAAGGGAAAGACCUUACUGUAUCUCUUCUGUUUAUUAUUAUUAUUAUUAUUAUUAUUAUUAGUAUUAUUGUCGAGCUUUCGACUUUAGUUGAAAAAGCGAGACUAAGCGAUUCUACAUUCCGUCGUCGUCGGUGUCGUCGGCGGCGGCGUCCACAAAUCUUCACUCUGUGGUUAAAGUUUUUGAAAUUUUAAUAAUUUUCUUAAACCAUACUGGAUUUCUACCAAACUUGGACAGAAGCUUGUUUAUGAUCAUAAAUAGUAUCCAGAAGUAAAUUUUGUGAAAAUAAAAUUCCAUUUUUUCCGUAUUUUACUUAUAAAUGGACUUUGUUUUUCUGCGGGAAAACAUUACAUACACUCUGUGGUUAAAGUUUUUAAAAUUUUAAUAACUUUCUAAAACUAUCCUUGGUUUGUACCAAACUUGGACAGAAGCUUGUUUAUGAUCAUAAGAUAGUAUCAAGAAGUAAAUUUUGUAAAAUAACAAAUCCAUUUUUUCCAUAUUUUACUUUAAAUGAACUUUUUUUUCUGCCAGGAAACAACACAUUCACUCUGUGGUUAAAUUUUUAAAAAUUUUGAUAACUUUCUUAUACUAUUUUUUAUUUGUACCAAACUAAGACAGAAGCUUGUUUAUGAUCAAAAGCUAGUAUCUAGAAGGAAAUUUUGUUAAUAUUUUGUACCUGUGUAUCUGUAUUUUACUUAUAAAUGGACUUAGUUUUUCUUCCAGUUAACAUUACAUCCAGUCUGCAGUUAAAGUUUUAAAACAUUUAUUAGAUUCAUAAACUACCCAGGAUUUUUUACCAAACUUGGACAGAAGCUUCCUACAAUCCAAACAUGGUAUCAAGCGGAAUAUUUUUAUUGAUUUUUUCCCUCAUUUUUUGUUGAUUGCAAUUUACAGCAAAAGUAGGCGAGACACUGGGUUCCGCGGAACCCUUACAAGUUUUUAUUAUUAUUAUUAUUAAGGUCUUUCCUUUUUCUAUAAGGAAAGACCUUACUGUAUUUCUUUUGAUUAUUAUUAUUAUUAUUAUUAUUAUUAUUAUUCUUUUUGUUCCGCCAAACUUUGACAAAAUUUCCCUCCGUAACCGUAAACCAUGUCGCUUUCAUCUUCACACUUUGUAUCGGUGUCAUGAAUACCUAUCCGGAACUCACCCUGUGAGUCGAAAUAUUUUGUCGGUUCGGAGUAAUCCCUCCGAAACCCUAAAACCUUGUUAUCGUUCCAACACCGUAACCGUAAUAGGUAGAAAAAAACCGAAGGGUGAAAUUUGUUCAGGACCAGACCCCGGUUUUUCGUGACAUUUGGAUCGAAAAGAUUCAACGACUCAUCAUUUCUCAUUGGUAGGGUUAUGCCCCUAUUAAAAUUAACCGGUGUCAGUUGGCCACCAAAACUCAGAAACCGUAAGUUGUAGACACCUAGGAUCUUCACCAAUCAUCAUCAAUUCAUGUAUCUUUGAAAAAUACCUCAAGGUCAAAUUUGUAUGUUGACCUUGACCUUUGACCUAGCACCUUGUUAUGGAUAUAACAUUUAGUUUUUGUAACCUUCCAAAGUCCGGUAUCUAUUUUGUAUUGUUUAGGGGGCUUCAUCAUUGAAGUUAACAAAGCAGCAAUCCCUCUGCUCAUUUAUAUUAAUGUACAAACAUGUCUGUGUCUGGUAAAACCGUUUACAUAUUACGGAGAUAGUUAUAUGAAUUUCUCAUCGCAAUAUUGUAAAUGUGUAUGUAAUAUGCAAAUAAAUGACUUCAAUAGAGUUAAAUAUGGUCUAUAGUUUUUGCAAUAGUAAUAAUUGAUGUAUUUCACAAAGGAAUCAUCACAUGGACAACAUCUGUUUUUUUUUAUAUUCUGGUUAAAAGUGAAAAAAAGAAUAAUAUCAGCAAUGCAUGCAAUUGCAACAAUAUGUCUCUGAUUAUAGAAAUUGAAAAAAACAAAACUACCGCACGUUUUUCUUCAUUUUUGUUCUGGUCCGGUUUUUUCAUCCAAUCAGAGUUCAAAUGUUUGUGAAUCCAUGUAGCCGUUAUCUUAGUAAUAUUGUCUUUAUACAUUGGUCACACACAUAAAUUAACGUUUUAAACUAGGUAUAAUCCACCAGUUUGUCUUAACCUGUCCUCUACCAGGUCAGGAGCAUGACAGUUGAAAAUACGUUUCUAUGUAUUUGGUGUUUGUUUUUGUUGCACUAUUAAAGUUCGAUCUUAGUUUGUAAACUGGUUUAUAAAUAAAAACUACAUUUUAAGUUAUAUAAUGGGAAUAACUAGCAUCUGGCACAAAAUUGUUGUAUUUACUUUAUAAUGGGUAUUUAAAUUGUAAUUUCAGACUAUCAAUCCAAAAUCUUGGUUUUACCGUUGAUACAAAAAAAUAAAUGAGUUUAAUUCAAUCUAAUUUAAAUAUUUUAACAACAUUACUCAUGAAGGUAAUUGAUCAUAAUUUAUUUGGAAUGAAGCAGACAUAUUUUAAUAAAAAAAAUAAAGAUAUAGAUUUAUUCACGACAGUCUUGUUUAAAUCAUAAUUCUAGUCUAAACAAAAUCGACAUAAUCACCAACAUGUAAACCUAUAUUUUCUUUAAACAACUUUUCCCCGAUCGCAGAAUGACGGCUUUUUACAUUCUUAACAAAGUACAAAAAAUGUAAAAGAAAUCUAGAUCAAAUUAAAAAAAUAGCACGUUUAUAACAACAGGUCCUGGAAUAAAAUAAAUGGAUCUUGAAUUGUUAUUAGGCAAAAGGAUGUAAAAUAUAUCAUGCAAUUUUCAUUGAAUAACAUUUGUAAUAAAUAGGUCUUUUAUAACUGACUUAGCGUAUUGGUUUCACUCAUUGGUGACAGCUUUACAGUAACCUAUUAUUGUCAAUUUCUCUGUCAUUUUUGGUGUCUUUUCUAGAGUUGUAUAAUCUUAUUUUUAUAUCAAUAACAAAUAUAAACACUCGUUUUAAAUUUUGACCCCGAAAUAAAACCAAAAAAAAAACAAUCAACAAAUAAAAGAUUCCCUACUUCAUCUAUAAAUAUUAAACAAAACUUAAAGGGAAGCUUUUACAUGUGUACUAUUGUUUGUCUGUUUUAGUUUUCCAUUUUUAGCCAUGGCGUUGUCAGUUUAUUUUCAAUUUAUGAGUUUCACUGUCCCUUUGGUAUCUUUCAUCCUCUUUUACAAUAAUCAACUCAUACAUAAAGACAAAACGAAUGCAAACACUCAUCAAGAUAAGAAAAUAACAACAAGACAUUAAUAGUCCUCCCAAAGGUAAUGUAUUUUGUUAUCAUGUUCAGUGUAAAUACCAUCAUGACCAUAGUCGCAUGUGAUGAUAGUGUUAAGUGCUCAUAUUAUCGUUUUAAAUAGCAUAAAAUCUGUAUGAGGUAUAAAACACAUCACAGUUAUUAACAUGAACAUUGAUAUAUUCACCAGAAUUUGACAAAUAUAACGUGUCAAUCACUGUUGAUUUGAGCUCAAACGUUGACAUGAUUCAUUUGUUUUAUAUUCAUUGACUUAUUACGCCUUUGAUGCUCUUGUUCAAGAUUUUCGUCUCUUUACAGUGUACAAUUCCGUAAAACAAUAAUUAGAUGUAAUUGAAACAAAUUUCAUCUUGCUAAUCUGUAUCUAUACUAUUAAACGAGAAGACCUCAUUUUGUAUGUCGCUUCUCUUCCUUCCACAAUAAAUCAAUCAUCAUCCCUCUGUGUCCUAUAGGUAACAUGCAUAGUCGGAUAUGAUUCCGUCAUCAGACAGACUUUUAGUCAUAGAAAAGACUUCCUCUUUGAAACACGCACAAAUACAACCAAUCGUAUGAUAGAUAGCAAAAAUGAAAAAUAGAUAAGCCAAUCAGAGCGUUCUCCAUAUUAUGGUGUUUAGAUAGCAAGAACCACAAUUAAUUUACCUCCUUAGAGAGGACAAUUAUUUUUCGCGUUUAUCUACAUGUAAACUACGAUUAUACUACUUAAAUAUAUUCAGACUCUCUGUAUUCUGUCUACUUUUUUUAAAAAAUAUUUACUAUUUAAGGGGUCAUACCAGUUGCAUAUAUAUUAAAAUCAGUAAAACAUGUGACACAAGUACAACCAAUCGUAGAGCGUUCUCCAUAUCAUGGUGUUUAGAUCGCAAGAAUCACAACUAUUAUACCUCCUUAGAGGGGACAAAUAUUUUUCGCGUUUAUCUACAUGUAAACUACGAUUAUAAUACUUUAAUAUAUAGAGACUCUCUGUAUUCUGUCAGGGAAAUUCUAUGUAAGUAUAGAAAGUCCCUGAUUCUGUUUACUGUUUUCUUUGAAAUGUUUACUAUUUAAGGGGUCAUGCAUACCAUUUGCAUAUAUAUUAAAAUAAGUAAAACAUGCUGACCUUCAUCUAAAACUACCUCGACCAAAAUUUUUUACCUGAAGUAGGACAGGCGGACGAGACGGACGGACGGACGACCGAACAAACGAACGCACGGAUGAACAGACUAGAAAACAUAAUGCCCAUAAUUGGGGCAUGAAAAUUUAUUGGUAAAAGGGAAAAUAGUGAUUUGGCAAAAAUGAAAGUCAGGUAGAGAUUUAAGGGAGGCAGGACCUUUUUCGGGGUAACGGGAUCGGGUGUUUUUAAGCGAGGGAUUUGGGGAUUGAUCCUUACGGGAUCCGGGAAUAUUUUUUUUUCGAUUUCGGGGGAAAAAAAGGAGAAGAAUAAUUGUGGUCGUAGGCCAGAAACACGAAUAUAAUUGAAUUUAACAGAAAGGAAACAAAUAUCGGACUUUGGAAAAAGGGAGAGGGCUUUUGAUACCUUUUAUGUUAUUCUCUAUACAUAAUACCUUUUACAAAAAAUCAUCCUACAACAGUUCACAAGCUGUAUAUGCCCGCGAUUUUGCGGGUAUCUUCUCGUAGUUAAUAAUGAUCACAUUGAUUUUAGGAUGAACCUUUUGUAAGGUGAAUUAAGAUUAAAAUAGAAACGUUUUGUUUAUUGCAUAUAACACAGCGAGCUAGUGGUUUCAAUGGAAAUUAAAUGACUUGAAUGGUGUUUAUAUGAUCACUUAGAUGAUGUUCUUUUACUAAAUAAUUCAAAAUUUGGUGACUAUGUGGAACGCAUCUAUCCCAUCGAGCUAGAGAUAAAGGAUACCACAUAUAUAGUUAAGUCGGCCUCAUAUCUUGACUUACAUCUAGAAAUUGACAAUGAGGGUCGGUUGAAAACAAAACUUUACGACAAAAGAGAUGAUUUCAGCUUUCCAAUUGUGAACUUUCCAUUUCUAAGUAGCAACAUUCCAGCAGCACCUGCAUUCGGGGUAUUUUUCUCCCAAUUGAUACGAUGUUCCCGUGCUUGCAUUUCCUAUCAUGAUUUUCUUGAUAGAGGGUUGCUGCUCACAAGGAAGAUAUUAAACCAAGAGUUCCAAAUGGUGAAGUUGAAAUCAUCCCUUCGUAAAUUUUACGGACGCCAUCACGAGUUGGUUGACCGUUAUGAAAUAACCGUUUCACAAGUGAUAUCGGAUAUGUUCCUUACGUCAUAACUACACUCCCCUUCCCUUUCGUGAAUGUGACCUACCGAAUUAGACUAUUUACCGGAUUUGUUAUCACAUAAGGUAACAAUACACAGUUAGGAGUUUAGUUUCGCAUUUUGGCCCCUGUGGAUUUUUCAAAUAGGAAAGUUAUUGUGUAAUAAAAAUCAUUUUUAGACAGAUGAGUGCUAAUUUAGCCUUCAAAGAUGGUUUAUAAGUGCAUCAAGAUAAUUUUUACAUGUUUUAUGGGCUGUUUUCUGUUUGACAAUCCGUAUUUUCAUAGCUAGACCGGCCAUCGGUCCAGAAAUUAAUGUGCUGUUUACAAACACUUUUUUUUUCUACACGAAGUUUUUGACGCAAUUUUACAACAAAAUGAGAUGAAAGACAUACGAUUUUCAUUGGAUUUGCUGAAUGAUAUAUGUACACAGUUUCAGAAAAGGUAUUACUUCAAGCGAUUGAAAUUCUACUUUUAGCCAAAUCUGCCCCCCCCCCCCUUUUUUGCAAUAUUUUAUAACAAAUAAAUGCAGAUUGUUGGAAUGGAUAUACCAAAAAGAAAUUAUAUUUUGCCAUUUUAUAUACUGGAUAUAAAAUCUAUGGAAGAUUAUGAUAACAUACAUUUGCCCAUAUAUGACACAAACAGUAAGCUUGAUAUUGCAAGAAAGCAAUGAAAAGGGAAUGGUAAAAUUCAUAAGGGCAAAUUAUUGCUACCUAAGCAACACGACGGGUGCCACAUGUGAAGCAGGAUCUGCUAACGCGUCCGGAGCACCUGAGAUCACCCCUAGUUUUUUGGUGGGGUUCGUGUUGUUUAUUCUUAAGUUUUCUAUGUUGUGUCAUGUGUGCUGUUGUUUAUUUGUCUUUUUCAUUUUUAGCCAUGGCAUUGUCAGUUUGUUUUAGAUUUAUGAGUUUGACUGUCCCUUUUGUAUCAUUCGUACUCUUUUAGAAGCACACAUGACUCGUAUUCUAUUAUCGUAAUAAUCUUUAGAACUCAAUUGUAUACCUUCUUGUUCGUCUGUUAGUUAAAUCAAGUUAACUGUGUCAACUACAAAACAAACAUUGGCAAUUAAGUUAUUGAAAACGUUAAACUCAAAAACUCGAAAAAUUUUAGCAAUUUGUAUAAUGCAUUUUGUGUCAUCACCAUAUGUACACCAACAUAAAAUGUAUGCUGAAACUAAUCAUUUUAACAAAACUCAUUUUUUUUAAAUUUCAAAAACCACAUCAGAGGUCUGUAAUUCAAUACAACUCAUUGUGAAAAUAUAAUGUAUCUUACAUCUUUCUGAAAACAACUCUCCCUAUAGCAUUAAGAUGAUUAAGCUGUUUUAGUUACAUAUUAAAGGAAGUUGGUUUUUUCCUGUUCGUGUUGCUUGCUUUUAUACUUAGUCUAUGCAAGCGGAUUUGAUAUAAUAACCCACUAACUCCUAAUGGAGAUGGCCGUACUAAUUGAAAACAAAAUGUUUAAUUUUAAAAAGCAUGGUAGAAAAUCUAUACCCAAAGUAAUUGAAGUGACGAGUUCUUUUUGUAUCAUUCUAUCUUUGAAAUUUAGUUCAAAAUCUUUCCCAGGGCAACUAAUUACACAAUUUUUCAUAUAUUAAAAAUCUUUCGAAGAGGAAAACUAACAGUCUAAUCUUUAUGACAAACACCACAUGAACAAACGACAACAACUAGACAACAUAUUCCUGAAUUUGGACAGGUGCAAAAAAAGUGCAGGGGUUGUCAGGCUGUAAACCAAAAUCGCAUCCCCGACUAAGGUCAGAAUCAAAACGUGUGUGUUUUUAAGCGAUUAGUUUGACAAUGUUUUCAUAUGUCCAUCAAUUCAUUUAUUUGUUGUAUUCCUAUUUCAGUCCUGACCUUUGUUGUUGCCUACAUUCUUACUCACUGAAAAAACGGAUUUUAACUGAAAUUGAGACAUUAAACCUCUCAAGAGAUAUUUGCUAUGUCGUCUGUCAAAUUGAAAUAAUUGUGUUUAAUACGUAUAUAUUGUUUUCUUUUAGAAACCAUAAAACACAAAACAGUCUAAUAGAUAUACCUCAGGGAGUUGUUAUCUUUCGACUCAUUUACUUAAUAGUAUGUGCUAAUGAUAAUAGGAAUGCUUGAGGGUGAUCAGUUAAAAGAUUGACAUAGCUAAUUGAUGGAAACCAUAAGGAAAUUAUUUGAAGUUAUUUACUGGUCCAAAUAACAUUUCAAUGGAAAGUAAACACUGUUCUUUAUUAAUCAGAAUUCUUUAGAGUGCAAUAGCAUAAACAAUAUAAAAAGAUAGUUGCAUAUAAAAGCAAUAGACAAACUAACAAAGUUUCAAAGAAAACAGUGACAAUAUUAAACUCCUGUGCAUAGUAAAAACAGAAUAUACACGUUAGUGCUUCGAAAAGGUAUAUAGUCUGUAUGUAUAUACUGUACUCAUGAUCCCGCCAAGAGAACACAUGUACCAAAUAAUAUCAAAAACAAAUUUUAUAACAUAUCAAAAUAUCAAAAUUAUUCGUGUAACUAAUAUGGGAAAAUCAUGCAUAUGACUAGACUGUAAAUAGUGAUUGGUUCAUCUGAUAUAAUUGGAGCAAAGAUGGGCAAUAAAAAGCGCCCACAAACAUACAAAUAAAAAUAACUAGACUAUCAACUACUGUAUAAUUCAUGUGAUUACAAAAAACACAAAAAAUCAAAACAUAACACAAAUUUACACUUUUGUAAAUAAGAAGAUUUGGUUUCAAAGUAGGGUGGUAGGGGAGGAAAGCGGAAAAUCUACGAAUUCAAUUUUUCGUGGGUUAAAAUUUUGUUUCUUUGUUUCUCUAACUGAAGGUGUUGUCGAAAAGGAUACUUUUCAUUGGUUGAUCGCCUAUCGAUCUAAACAAGAAACCUGCUAAACCAAUAGAAACAAUCACGGCAGUAUUGAGGGACCAUCAAUUCAUUUACGCUUUACAUAAAUACCUAUGUAUCGAUAUAAAUCUCCACCCACUGUGGAACAUUGUGUAAUGUUGUUGACGAGUGUUGUAUGAACUUUUAUAAUCUCAGAAUGUGUACUGCACUGGUCCGAGUACACAGUUAUUUCGUAGUACAUUUCUUUUAGACAAUAAACGGAAGUAAAAAAAAUCCCACCUGCGCUUUCUCCAUAAUAUUUUUACAGUGUGUUGUACUACUUUUGGGACAAAUUAUAUCCAAAUUAUAGAAAACUUCAUCAGCUCUUACUCAAACUAUGGACAGUUGUAUGUGAAGGGGGUCUUGAAAUGUUUUGACAGCUUCCGAAAUGCUAAUUUUUGACCUUUUUCAUCUGGACCAAAUCACUACUUUACAUUAUAAUUCAUGAAUCCAUUUUUUUACAGUGUAGUUUAAUCCGCCUUCUUGCUACUUGAGGCAUAAAACAUAAAUAAAUAAAUUUGGAAAGGGUAUAAAAAAAUUGACAAGUAACACACUGUCCACACUAGGGACUAUAUUCGUGAACAACGAAAAUCAAGGGACGAUAACUGUGUACACGGACCUAAUUUCAUUACAAUGUCGUUUUUGCCUGUUAAUGUUUUUGUCUCCAAUCCAUAAAAACAGGAUCAAGAAUAUUUGCUAAUCUGUUUCAAAAUAACAAGCUUUUAAAAGACUUUUAUUAUUAAAAGUAUGUGGAUAAAGAAGAUUAAAAGCAAAAAAAAAACUUGAAAAGGUCAUGUGCUUGCUUUCGAGAUAUAUACGAUUAAAAAUUUGGCUGGAAGUGAUUCUUCCUACUUUCUUCAUACAUUUCAUUUUGGCUCCUUUUUCUUUCAAAAAACUAUGACAAAAAGGAUUUUAUAAGAUUUGCAAUAAUAACUUUACACUUUAUGUAAUAAUACUAUGGAGAGAAAAGAAGGGGUUAGCUUACAAAAUUUGUAAUGACACUACAUGGAUUAAAACAGAGAAUUCAGAAUAUAUGUAAAACUGGAAAAGCACAAGAAGCAAACAUCUGUUACUCUAUUUUCUUUUUAAAUUGAAACUGAAUGCGUAAAUAGCAUGGUAUUGUAUGGCUAUGUUUUUUCAACGUAGUCGUUUGUCUAACUGUACAAUGCAUGUUAUAUACAACAGUUCAAAACAAUAAAACUUUAAAAGAUGCGCGACAGAUAUCAAAAGGACAUUUAAACUCAUAAAAAGAAAAAGACAUGGUUAAAGUAUAAAUUAUGCUUUUUACAAUUUAAUUGUAAUUGCCAACUGUACUGAGCUAUGUAUUAUAAUUCAACAUCACAAACAUGCACAGUCAAAAUUUCUUCGUUUUGUUUGCUCAUGUGAUAGGUCAUUAUUACAUGUUUCACCUCUCUUAUAAAUAUUGUCUGCAGUGUCUCUGAACACCUCUUUAAUUAUAUUGUUGUUUACUUCAUUCAUUACAACUUUUUUUACAUCAUUCAUUACAACUUUGUUUUUCUAAUCUUCCAAAGUCCUGUAAAUUUCUGUUUUUUGUAUCGUUCAGCGGCUUCAUCAGAGAAGUUUACCAAGCACCAAUUCCCUAUGCUCAUUUAUAUUAAUGUACGAGCAUAUCUGUGUCUGGUAAAACCGUUUACAUAUUACCGAGAUUGAGAUAUGAAUUCCCCAUCGCAAUAUUGUAAUUGUGUAUGUCACAUGCAAAUUGCUUACUUCUGAUAUAUGUACUAUGGUAUAUGCAAUAGUAAUAAUUGAUAUUCAGAAAGGAAGGAUGACAUUGAAAACAUGUUUUUUUUAUAUUGUGGUUAAAAGUGAAUAAAAAGAUAAAUGUCACCAAUGCAUACACUUGCAACAAUAUGUCUCUGAUAUAAAAAUUAAAGAAUAACAAAACUACCUAACCUUUUGGUUGAUUUUUGUUCAAUUCCGUUUUUUUCAUUCAAUCAGAGUUUAUGUUUGAGACGCCAUGUAGCCGUUAUCUUUGUGAAGUUUUCUUCUAUACAUUGGUCACAAACACAAAUGAAAGUUUUAAACCAGGUCCAAUCCACCAAUUUGUCUGAACAUGUCCUCUGCCAAGUCAAGGGUAUGGCAGUUGUUAUCAAAUAGUACGUGUCUAUGUAUUUAUCGUUUCUUUUUGUUGUUCUGUUGCUUUCCUCUUAUAGUUGGUGUGUUCCGCUCGUUUUGAGUUUGUAAGCUGGAUUGGAUUUGUCUCAAUCGAUGUGUUUCAGCGGUAUACUAUGGUUGCCUUUAUUUAACAAAUGAUACCACUCUUCAGAUAUUCAAAACUCCUUCUACAUGAUUCAUAAACACGUAAAGAUAAUGUUAAGCUGUAUACGAAGUAAACGAUGAUAUAUUUAAAGAAUCACGAUUUACUUUCAUGCUCAAUUAAUAGCUAAUGUUAUAAAAUAUUUUGUAAUUGAUAGCUUAAAUGUUCUCACUUGAAUAUUGUGGAUGGUCUGGGGGCUUUUUUUCAGAUACUGCUUAAUGAUAACGGAAUAUAAUUAUACCGACUAAGGCUAGGAUAAAACAGAUUUCGAACUUAACAAAAUCAGAAUUACUAGUAUAUUCGAACAUGAAUUAUUCAGAUUUUAAUCAAUUCUGGAAUAUAACUAACAUUGAGUGUUUUAUGUCAGUGUUUAUUUAAAAUGAUUAAUGGUGCACUGUGCAGUAACUCAAUGUACAUGUCGGGACAAAUUAAGUUAUAAAAGUAGUAAUGAUGAUUUGCGUAUAUUUGCAUCUGACUAAGUAAUUGUUUGCAAUGUUAUAUUGCAAGGUGGGUUGAUCAGUCGGGUUUAUUUCCUUUUCAAUUUGUUUAUUCUGGUGUAUUUAGUAGCUUAACGUAUAUUAACUGUCUAGAAAAACAAACAACUUAAAUAAACUCAUCAAAGAUACCUGGACUAAAUUUUGUAUAUACGCUAGACGCGCGUUUCGUCUACAAAAAGCUCAUCAGUGACGCUCGAAUCCAAAAAAGUUUAAAAGGGCCAAAUAAAGUACCAAGUUGAAGUGCAUUGAGGACCAAAAUUCAUAAAAGUUUUCCCAAAUACAGCUAAGGUUAUCUAUGCCUGAGGUAGAAAAGCCUUAGUAUUUCAACAAUUCAAAAUUUGGUAAACAGUUACUUUAUAAAUAUAACCAUAUCAAUGAUAAUUUAUGUCAGCACAAAAGUGCUGACUACUGGGCUUGUGAUACUCUCGGGAAAAUAAAACUCCACCAGCAAUGGCAUCGACCCAGUGGUUGUAAAUUGAGGACCAAAUUUCCUAAACGUUUUGUCAAAUAAUAUAUACAAGGGCUGUUGAGUAAUGCCUUAAAUUUUGUCUAGACGUCUUUUGACAUGCCUUUUAGAACAUGCAAGAACGUUAUAGAAUAUUCAUAACUGUUACUAAUUCCACAUUUUUAAACAUGUAUUACAUUAAAUUAUAUCAAAUAGUAAUGCGUUUGAACAAUAUUCAACUUUAAUAAUUUACUGAUAUCUGAUAAUAUUUCGAUGAAAAUGCAUGAGUUGUGUUUGUAAAAACAUUGGGAACAUAAUUCCACAUUUUGAUCAAAAACUGAAAAACGUUGAUGCAAGACUAAACUGCUAAGUCAAAUGUUAAGGGAAUGCAAAAUCAUAUGGUCAUUUCGUUUGAUUUUUUGGCUUUGUCAUUUUAUAAGGGACUGUCCGUUUUUAAUUUUUCGGGGUGCUCAGUAUUUUUGUGAUUUUAAUUUUUGUUUAUCUAUAAAGGGCUAGAAGUAUGUAUGUUGUAUCACAACUAAUAUAGAACACUCAAUAUAACAGUAUACAUGCUAAUUUGAAAGAAACUGUGUUUGCUUCUAUUUGUAUAACAAAAAGGAAAUUAUUUGAAUAUGUUGAACCAGUUAUAUAGGCCAGAAGCAAACAGUCAAAAAGAAUUACACUAGAAAACAGUACAUAGUUCGUUAACUGAUUAUUGUUUCAAGUACCAUAAUUCAUAUUCAAGUAUGGCAGCCGACAGUAUAACGUUUGAAGCCAGUUUAUGUUUUAUAACAUUUUAUAUACGAUGUGUUUGUCAUCAAUGCAAGAUAAUUGCCAAUUUACUUUAGUAUAUUGUGUGAAGCACUUAAAGAGAUAAACUUAAUACAUAUCUGUCUUAAUCUUUUUUUAUGAAAAUUUCAUUACCAGUGUUUUUAUUUUUUUUAAUUUCUUUAUUUACAAUAUUGCAUUGUUUUAUAUAAUAUAAUAACUUGAACCAAAUCAGUUUGUAAUGACCAUGCUAUAGAUGAAGAUGUAAGUCAAGAACAAUUGUACAUAAAAGUUGUUAAUUUUCUGUAUGGAUCAUUUUAGAAAUUGAUAAACAAAAUGUAGGUUGUUCGGAUUGGGAUUAUAUCUCAUUGAAUUAAAUUUUACUUUGUACUACUUUUACCUUUAAUUUUUGGUUUUGAUUACAAAAGUUUUGAUUUUGACUAAAUUAAUAGUAUAUAUAAAAAAGAAGAUGUAAAUUAAUAGUAUGUUUAUCUUUUUUCAAUCCCUUUUUCUGUUCUAUAUGUAAAACGGAAACUUAUUAAGAUGUGAAAAAGGUUAUACGAAAAAUUGCAAACAAGAAAAUUUCAAACCCUAAAAAAUAAAAAAAAGAUAAAACUUCAAACGCAUUAAAUUACCAGAAAUCAGCUGAAAUGUUUGCGACUUCGUACAAGCACUUCUUUUUAAAGUAGAAAAUGGUACAUAAACACUUGUUUUUCAACUAGCUCAUGCAUGACAACCUCUAGUUUUGUCUUACUGUUAUUUUACUUGGUAUGCCACACCUACGAUUUCAGAUGGAUAUUGUUUUUUUUUCUGGUCUCUGCGUCCGUUCAUCUGGUCGUCCGUCCGUUCGUUCAUUCGUCCGUCCGUCUGUUUCACUUUAGGUUACAAAUUUUAGUCAAUGUAGUUUUUGAUAAAUUUUAAGUCCAUUCAAAUUGAAACAUUAAUUUUAGUGCCAAAUUAGAUUUUUCAUGGUCCACUGAACGUUGAAAAUGAAAGUGAGAAUGGGGCAUCCGUGUACUAUGUACACACUCUUGUUCUGUUUAUAUGCUACCGACAAGUCUUUUGAGACUUGCUGUCAUUGAAAAUUUGAAAAGACAAAAAAGAAAAACGUAAAAUGAGGUACAAAAACACGUAUAUAUGUCUUCAAUAAAAAAUGGCAGCAAUAACGAGCAAUAACGAAAAUAUUCUAACGAUAUGACCAUUGUCACGAUAAAUGGAAUGUUUUAAUAUGAAGAAUAGAUUUGAAAAAAAAAUCUGCCAAACACGCAUAUACGCUUUCAAAUCUAUUAAGUUUUGCUAGAAGUACAAAACUUGGGUUAAAUAGUAAUAUGAGUUUGUUCAAUUCAAAUCUCUCAAAUAAAGCAAACAUUUAAAUUAUCGCGCAAAUACAAAAUUUAAAUCCUAGCAUAUAUGAUGAGUUUAUUUAAAUGUAAUUAAUUUGAUCAAACCUUCCAAGUCAGCUUCCAGAUUGAAAAAUUAUAUUUUAAUGAAAAUGCACGAGGAUAAGUAUUGUGAGAUUUGUCGGAUCUAGUUUGACAGAAAGAAGUUGAUUUCUUCAAAAGCUUAUUUCCAUGUGAAAUACAUUAUCCUACAGUUUUCUGCAGUUUACAUGAUUAAUCGAUUGGUUAAAAAUCACACAAAGGCGUUCAAUUGUUCUGUACAGUUAAAAGAUUUAUUAUUUCACAUUUAUCACCCUGUCUUACCCAUUAUCAACGUCCGCCUGCGAUAAACAUAAUUUAUCAUGUAUCAUAAUUUAUCUUGCGUUAUAAUUCAACGUAUUAAAAGCUAGGUAAAUAGACUUCUUUCCGUCAGUGAAAACGAUGGGAAAUGUAAGCAAAUAUGUGUCAACAAAAGAUUUCAACAGUGAGGUAAAUCCGUAUUCCAUAGCAAUCAUUAAAAAACCUGAAAUUACAAAUUAUUAGAAAUUUUAAACGAGAACAGGUUAAUCUUAAACUCUCCAAUGUAAAUAAAACUCGUAUCAAUACUUAUUAUAAUCAUCUGUUUUUCAAUGUGCAACCUCUUGUUCGUCUAGGGAUUCAACAGAUAACUGAUUUGUUUGAAUACAGUCAUUUCAAACAAUAAUCAUUUACUACUUUGUAUAAAUAAAUGAAGUUGUAUGGUGGCAGAAUCCCUCGUGAACUUUGUUUAUGUAGUUGUUGUAUUAUAAUCAAGUCAUUUUUAAAAGGGAACAAAUAUACAUGUAAGAAAAGGAGAUGUAGUACGACUGCCAAUAAGCGAAAAUUUGUUUUAUAUCGAAAUCUUAGAUUUGUCAAUUACUGUAAAUUAGCUGACGAUCCUGAAAAACAAUUAAUAAUUCAGUUUCUCGUCUACAUUAGCAUGAUUAGUAUGAUUAAAUAAGAAAUAUCAGGUAGAACGGUUUCUGCCAGUUCAAUUUCUUGUACAAAUAUAUCUGGAAGGAACUCAUUAAAGCAAUAAAACAAACUUGUUGUUUUUCAAGUUUAAAAUAAGUUGCAGUUAAAUUGUUUCCGUUUGAAGACAUAUUCAUGAUUACAUUUUUCAAUAAAAAAGACGAACCUACAAAAUGGAUAAAUAAUCUUCAAAUCAAAAUACAAUGACAGUUUACAGACUUAAUAUGCCUAAUUUAAUACUUUAUAUAAUAUAACAAGAUUUUAUGACCAUUACGUAUCAGUUGAUUCAUUUUUAAAAGUGUUAUUUGCAGACAAUAGUAGGUUGUUAAUGUUCAACUGAUGAAUAACUUCAACUAAUUUAUUUUGAUUGUCCACGUGUUAUCGUGAUGCUCAGAUCAAAUUAGUUAGAAAGCCAAACAAGUAUAAAAUUGAAGAGCAUUGAUGACCCCAAAUUUCUCCCAAAAUGUGCCAAAAUGGCCUGGAAUAAGAAAAUCAUAAGUAUUUUGAAUAAUUCAUACUUUUGCAAACAGUAAACUUAUAAAAAUUACUAUAUAAUUGAUAUUUAUGUCAACACCAAAGUGCUGACUACAGGGCUAGUGAUAUCAUCGGGAACAAAAUGUCCACCAUUAGUGCAAGCGACCCAGUGGUGUAAAUAGUGAUUAUAGGUACCAGGCUUAUAAUUUGAAACGUCAGACGGGCGUUUUGUCUACAUAAGACUCAUCAGUAUUGCUCAGAUCGAAAUGAUUAGGAAUUAUAAAAAAGAAGAUGUGGUAUGAUUGCCAAUGAGACAACUAUCCACAAAAGACCAAAAUGACACAGACAUUAACAACUAUAGGUCACCGUACGGCCUUCAACAAUUAGCAAAGCCCAUACCGCAUAGUGAGCUAUAAAAGGCUAUAAAGACAAUGUAAAACAAUUCAAACGAGAAAACUAACGGCCUUAUUUAUGUAAAAAAAAUGAACGAAAAACAAAUAUGUAACACAUAAACAAACGACAACCACUGAAUAACAGGCUCCUGACUUGGGACAGACACAUACAUAAAUAAUGUGGCGGGAUUAAACAUGUUAGCGGGAUCCAAACCCUCCCCCUAACCUGGGACAGUGGUAUAACAGUACAACAUAAGAACGAACUAUAAAAUCAGUUAAAAAAGACUUAACUCAUCAGAUGGACAAAAAUACAAGAAAGCCGAAAAAUCACAAAGUUUAGCAUUGAUGACCCACAAUUCUAAAAGGUUGUGCCUAAUACGGCUAAGGUUAUGUAUGCCCUGGGAUAAAAAAAACAAAUUAAGUAUUUCAUUGUAUUUCGAAUAAUUCAUACUUUUGCAAACAGUAAAUCUGAGCAUUUUUAACGUACUUGUAUGACACAUAAUCAGGGUUAUAAAUUUCUAUUUUAGUACAUAUAAAUAUUAAUCAUUUGAGGUAAUUUGCUCCUUUCUAAAAUCACAAAAAGUCAAAUAACACGCAGUGACAUAACUCCGCAUUAUUAAGUAUUAAGUACUAGCUAUUUUUCGCUUCGUUGUUCCAGAAAACAAUUUUCAGUUGAUUUUUUUAUUCUUUUAUUUUAUAACAAACUACUGAAAACUAAAACUAAAGAUUUCACUGUUAUAAAUAUAUACGUGAUAUUUAAUAGCGUAUCCCUUGUGUUAAAAAUAGCAAGAAAUUUUAUAAUUAUUACAAAUAGUGUAUUCAAUGGUUUUAAAUUUAUAAAAAAAUUGUUUUACUAAAUGCAACCUAUAAGAAAUAUGCAUACUCUUAGGAAGAAAUGAGCGUUUAUCAUUUAUUAAAUCCUGAUUUAGUAUGGUGUGUUCUAUAGAAAGAUCUGAAACUUAUUUAGUAUAAAAGAGGGACGAAAGAUACCAAAGGGAAAGUCAAACUCAUAAAUCUAAAACAAACUGACAACGCCAUGGCUAAAAAUGAAAAAGACAAACAAACAACAGCACACACGACACAACAUAGAAAACUAAAGAAUAAACAACACGAACCCAUCAAAAAACUAGGGGUGAUCUCAGGUGCUCCGGAAGGGUAAGCAGAUCCUGCUCCGCAUGCGGCACCCGUCGUGUUGCUUAUGUGAUAACAGAUCCGGUAAAUGGUCUAAUUCGGUAGGUCACAUUCAUGAAAGGGAAGGGGAUUGUAGUUACGACGUAAGGAACAUAUCCGAUAUCAUUUGUGAAACGGUUAUUCCAUUGCGCUCAAUUGAAAAUAAAUAAGGCGGCAUACGUUUGCAGUAGUUUUCAAGUAACGAUUGUUUAUUCUUUAAAUAAUGUAAACAUUCAUUCUGGCCGAAUAUUCAGGGAUGUAAUGUAAUUGUUUUUGACAAGAUGGUUGUUAUUGAUUAAAUGUGAAGUGAUUGUAACGCAUGUUUCGUUGCCUUUUUAUUUUUUAUAACAUUAUUAACCAUUUGUAAUUAUGGUCUCCACUUAAAAGAUUAAACUGCUUUACACUUCACACUUCAUCAUGCUGUAAAAUAUUUAACAUCUGUUUAAGUGGAAUUAACAUAAAUAUCCACGAGAAAAAGAAAAUAUUUAACAUUAACCUUUAUUUUUAUUUUUUCUGUGAACGCUGAGAUAGUUUCUUAUCGUUAGAAGUGAAAACAUCAAAGAACCUAACGCUUAAAUGUGUGGCAGCUCAAGCAUGAUGUGUUUUACUGUGUAUAAAUGCUUAAAUAAAAAAAAAGAUCACUGGCAAUGGUUUUACAAUUUAAUUUUGCUAUGCUUGAGUCAUAAUGAGAACAAUUGAAGGGUGUCAAUAACGUAGAAUAUCAUAAUUACAUACUAGCCAACGUAGAACACGUGGGGAAAACGGACUUUGACUAAAUUCAAUAUUGAAAAAUUUGAAAUGCUGGUUUAUGAUGUUAGCAUGUCAUGUCUUGGAAAUUUUGUUUGAAUUUCGGAUUCCUCUGGAUUUUUAUCAAAUGCCUUAAAAAAUGCCCAUUGACCCUCAUUUUUCUUUCAAUAUAACUGUUACAUGUAUAACUAUAAGCCAUCUGUAUAAGUGUUAUAAAAUCUUUGUUGUUUUUUAGAACAGUUUUUGAGAACUUAUGCUUAUCAAUGAUAAAGCUAUGAAAAAUCAAGAGAGAACUUUUUACCGCCAAUAUUUCAAUAGCUAAUAUCUCGAAAACAGGCACAUUGACCUAUAUCUAAUAUUUACUCUAUUGGUUCCUUUAUUUAUCCCCUACCAAUAAAUAAUACAGUUAUAAAAAGAAGUAGAUUCUCUAAAAUACUGAACCCAUAGGAAAAUCAAAUCGAUAAGUCCCUAAUAAAAGGCUUGUUAUUUUGAAACUGAGUUGCGAACUUCCUUGGGCCAUAAGCCGACGUCCAGAUGUUAUGCAAGCAAUCACAGUACAAGGUAAAAAAUGUUUUAUCUAUAAAAAAAAUCUCUCAGGACAUUUGGUUUGUUAUUGUUAGAAAUUCGAAUUACGUGUAUUCCAAAAUACAGAUUCGGAUUCCUUUUGUUGUAUUUCAUUGAAAUUAUGAGUCAACAGCAUUACAGUUUGGAUGUUUUAGACAAAUAAGAGAAUUUUGUUGAACGAUUUUGUACGCUUUCUGUGCAAAUGUUCUUUUUCCUCAAACCAUUUUUUCUGUUGUAUGCAGAACCAAAAUUAGAAAAUUUGCAGUUCAAGUUUCACAUACGGGAGCUGUAUAUAAAAAAAACCCAUGUGUCAUUACCAAUUUAUUGCACAAAAAGGUGAGAUAUACCAAAGGGACACUCAAACUCAUUAAUUGAAAACUAACUGACAACGUCAUUGCUCAAAAGUAACAAUACCAAAAAGACAAACUAUAGUGUAUAAAAUACAACAGAGAAAAGUAGAGAAUGAGCAGAAUGAACCCCACCUCAAUUUAGGGGUGAUAUUUAGUGCUUCGAAAGGGUAAGCGGAUCUUGACCAACAUGUGGCAUUAGUCGUAAAGCUUAUUUGAGUAUAAACCCGGUAAUAAGUCUAAUUCGAUAAGUCACAUUCGUUAAAAGGUAGCUGGGUUGUAGUUAUAUUCGAUCAUUCAUUACGGUGAUGACGUCCCUUAAUAAAAUGAAGGGAUUGUUUCAACUUCGCCUUUUGGAAAUCUUGGUUUAACAGCUUUCUUGUGAAAGCAGCAACCCUUUAUCAAGGAACCAUAAUAGAAAAUACAAGACUGGGAAUAUCAUAUAAGGUGGGAGAUAAAUACUCCGUAUGUAGAUGAUUUGAAAGGUUCGUUGAUGUUAAAGUUGAAAAAAUCUGUAUCAUUCACAAUUGGUUAGGCUGGAUCAUCAGUAUACAAUUCUUCCGAUACAUUUUUCUUAUAAUUUGCUAUAUAAAGAUUUGAUCGUCCUUUUUUCAAACAUAUAAUAAAACGUUUGUGUCACCAAGGUCUUUUUCGAUCUAUUACAUGUAGUCGUGCUAAGUUGCAUAAAUUGCAUGAAUACAACACCUUCUUUAAUAAAAUUUAUUCCAUGAGAAAGAAUCUUAAAAUAAAAUAUGAGAAGGUAGGUUUUAUAAUAUGCUUUAAGAAUACUAAAAUAUUUUUUUAAAUACUCUGUAGUGUGCCCAUAAAUCACUUAACUUCUUAAUUGCAAAUAUGUCUCAUAAUUUGCAGAUUUAAGCAAAGAACUAAACCGAUUGUGUACUUCUAGUACAAUCCAAAAUAUGAAGAUGGCGGUUUUAAUUUCAAUAUACCUUGAGUUAUUUAUCAUAUUAUUGAAAAUUCUGAAAAGUAUUAUCCUUAGACCUGCAAACAAGGCAUGAAAACACGGAAAGAAUAAUUGCGCAUAUUGAUUUCGCUAUCUUCUAGAAAUAGCAUAAAAGAGGGAAGAAAGAUAUCAGAGGGACAGUCAAACUCAUAAAUCGAAAAUAAACUGACAACACCAUGGCUACAAAUGAAAAGGACAAACAGACAAACAAUAGUACACACGACACAACAUAGAAAACUAAAGAAUAAACAACACGAACCCCAACAAAAACUAGGGGUGAUCUCAGGUGAUCCGGAAGGGUAGGCAGCACCCGUCGUGUUACUUAUGAGAUAUCAAAUCCGGUAAAUAGCCUUAUUCGGUAGGUCACGUUUAUGAAAGGGAAGGGGAUUGUAGUUACGACGUACAUGUAAGUAACAUAUCCGAUAUCAUUUGUGAAACAGUUAUUCCAUAAGGGUCAACCAACUCGUGAUGGCGUCCGUAAAAUUUGCGAAGAGAUGAUGUCAACUUCACCAUUUGGAAAUCUUGAUUUAAUAGCUUCCUUGUGAACAACAACCCUCUAUCAAGAAAAUCAUGAUAGGAAAUGCAAGCAAGGGAAUAUCGUAUCAAUUGGGAGAUAUAUACACCGUAUGCAAGUGCUGCUGCUGAUUAGAAAUGGAAAGUUCACAAUUGGAAAGCUGAAAUCAUCUCUUUUGUCGUUAAGUUUUGUUUUCAAUCAACCCUCAUUGUCAAUUUCUCGAUGUCAGUCAAGAUAUGAGGCCGACUUAACUGUAUCUGUUGUAUCCUUUAUCUCUAGCUCAAUGGGAUAGAUGCGUUCCACAUAGUCAUCAAAUUUUGAAUUAUUUAGUGAAAGAACAUCAUCUAUAUAGCGGAAAGUAAAGUUAAAGGAAUUUUCUAACCUCUUAUCUUUCUUCUUAAGAAGUUCUUGUAUGAAGUCAGCCUUAUUAUAAUAAAGAAAAAAGUCGGCAAGAAGGGGGCACAAUUCGUUCCCAUUAGAAUGCCGAUAGUCUGUUGAAAAACACGUCCUCUCCAAAACAAAUAUGUUGUCAAUCAGAAAUCAAUCAUCUUGAUAAUGUCAGUUUAGAGAAUUUUUGUUUGAAUCCGAGUCCUUAGAAAGUUAGAUUUAUCCCUCCCUAAAACAAGAUACUUGUAUCUACGUUUGCCAUUAUUUUUUAUGAAACAAAAAUACCAACUCUUUCAAUUUGUCUUUUAAUUUGGAAUGUGGGAAUACUUGUUAAAGUGUAAAAAGUCAUAAGUUUUAAUACUAUUGCAAGAUGAAAGAGAGUUAAAUUGUAUGUACUCUAAAAGAUCUUUGGAAGUAUCCACGUCUGAUUCACGCCCUUCUAGAAUAGGCAGUUUCAAAAUAACUUUGAAGCCCGGCUUUUGAUUGCUGAUAAAAUAGAUGUUAAUAAUUUAGAAAGAGGUUCGUGAGCAUUGAAAGACCCAGCAAAUAUACCGUUGUUUGUAAGGACACUUAUGUAGUUUCGGUAUCCAAUACAGUGAUGGAAGAUCCAGUUCAUCAUCUUUGGUUAAAAUCCCAAAGGAACAUAUGAUUAUCUAGAAUUUCCUCUUUGGUACAUGUAAGUGUCGUCAGAGUAUAUGUUUGGUUUCCAAUUGAAUUGUCAAUAUCUAGUUUAUAAUGUAAUGUGUUUUACACACAAAAACGAUGCUGUUUGGGGCUUUAUCUGCAGGGACAACACCAUAUUUGUCAUGGAGGAUAGGACAAGUGUUUUGCAACAUUUUGGGUCUUUAAAGAUUGACGUAGCAUGGGCAUUGAUAGACCCAUUCAGUUUCUUAAUUCUGAUUUGUAUCAACGACCUCACUGCCUUAAUACCUUCGGAAAGAGUGUCUACGUCUUUCCUUCUCGCGCUUAGCCCAUUGCCUGUCAUAAUCUUCGACUGAAUUCAUCAAAUAUUUUGUGUAUUUCCAAUUGAUGGAUUUAGGCUCACGAUAUUUGACCUUUCGAUAACACAUUUUCGUAGGGAAGUGUUAUUAACAAUGUUGAGGUCACCGUAAUAACGUGGCCAGCGGGUAUAUGUGAAUUGGGGAACUAGUACAAGUGCAAUCAGGAGGUUUAGAUUGAAGUCGUCAAUAUUGAGAUCCUGCAAAACGUGUUUGUAAUUGAAAAUUUUAGGUUGCAAUUAGGUUUGGUAUAGGUAUAAGAAAUGAUUGGUACAGACUGGUCUUUGAAAUAAGGAGGUAUUUUCGAUUGAACUAAUUUAUGAUGAAGGAUAUUUCUUAAGUUGACCCCAUCGAGGCAUUUGUUGCCAAAGGAAAGGUUAAGGAAAGAUCUUUUCUCUUUUUCAUCUUUUCAAUGAACUGCUUAAAGUCUGUGACUUGCAAUAUCGAAAUAUAGCUGUAGUGUAUUGUUUGAAUGGGGUUUGUAACAUUGGUUUCCAAACAUAAAUUGAACAGAGAAUGAAAAGUUUUGAAAGCAGCAAUGAAUUAAGUUUUGUGCAAAUGUGAUGAAUACCUAAUGGCUUUUGUAUACGUUGAGGAGUAGAGUUGAAAAUAUUCAUCACAUUCAUCGAGCUACACGAAGGACUUGAUAGAAUACCUAUACCAUCAAUUUUGUCAUUGCCAUAGGUGGGCAGUUCCCAAUUGUCUAUCCAGGUUCUCUUGUCUACGGAGGCGUCAAGAUUAGGAUUGUUAGAACGAGGUAUAUUUUUUGAUAAUGCGUACUGUCAUAGAAACGAUGGAAUGAUCGGGCUGAUUGAAAUGCUGGUAAAGAAUGUCGUUAGCAUUACGGUUAAUGUCUGAUAUAUGACCGCUCGCCGUUUGUUAGCCUUCCUUUCGUUUCACCGACGUAUAGCAAUCCGCAAAGGUUGCACUCUAAUCCGUAGACGACAUUAAUCGAUUUACAAUUCAGAUCAUCGCAACUUGUUGUAAAAUAUAACUUUUUAGUUAAAUUGCUAGUGAAUUCAGCAUCUGUUAUUCACAGUUAUUAAAAGUUUUGCAGCCUUUGGUCUCACAUUUCAAGAUGCGACAGUGUUGUUUUGAGUCAUCAAAUUUCUUUCUUCGUGAGGAUUUCAUAUUUUUUUUCCGAAUACCACCUGUAUGUGUCAUUAUCUUAAUUGCUGGGUUUUAAAACUGCUUACUUUAACAUUGCCUACAUAAGUUCUUACAUUUAAUGCUCUUCAAUUUCAUAGUUUGUCAGCCUUUUUAACUUUUUUUAUUCGAGCGUCACUGAUGAGUCUUUUACAAAAUGUCCAGUCCUGGUAUUUAUAAUGAGUUUGGAUUCAUUAGCAAAUUCUUCAAAUAUAUUGCAUGCGUUUGUUCUGGUGUUUAUAAAUAAACACUACAUAUUAAGUUAUAUAAUGUCAAUAACAAGCAUUUGGCACAAAAUUGUUGUAAUUACUUUAAACCAGUAAUUUAAAUUGUAAUUUCACACUAUCAAUCUAAAAUCUUCAUUUUAUCGUUGAUACGACAAAAUAAACGAAUUUAAUUCAAUCUAAUUUUAUUAUUUUACAUCAUAAUUCAUGGUCAUAGAUUAUUUGGAAUGAAGCAGACAUAUUUUAAUAAAAAAAAGAUAAAGAUAUAAAUGUAUUCAUGACAGUCUGGUUUAAAUGAUAAUUCUAGUCUGAACAAAAUCGACAUAAUCCCCACCAUAUAAACCUAUAUUUUGUCUCAAACAGCUAGUCGACCUGUUUCCCCAUUAGUAGAAUGUAGUAUUUACAUUGUUAACAAAGAAAAAAACAAAUUAGAUUAUAAAAACAAUGUUUUAACAAGUUUAAAACAAAAGGAAUGAAAUAAAUGUCUGUUUUGAAUGUUUUUAUUCAAUAUAACUUUAAAUUUAUAAAGAACUUUAAUAUGGGUUAAUAUUGUCAUUUCUGUGCAGUUUGUAGCUAAAGCUGACUAUGUGGAAUGGGUUUAACUAAUGGUUGAAAGCUGUACUGUGACCUAUUGUUAAUAAUUUUUCUGUCUGUUUGUUCUCUUGUCUAGAGAUCAUAAAAAAACAUACGAAAUCCUCCAUUUUUAUAUUGAUAACAAACAUAAACACUCGUUUCAAUAUUUUGACCCAGAAAAUAAAAAAAACAUUCCUAAUUCAUGUAAUUCAUCGAUAUAUAUUAAACCAAACCGAAAACAAAUAAAAAGUCAUAAACAACAGAAAAAUGCAACAACACAUUUGAUAGUCUUCCCCAAGUGAUUAUUUGUUGUUAUCAUGUUGUGUGUAUCUCCCCUCAUGACCAGUAUCGCAUGUGAUGGGAGAGUUAAGCUCUCAUAAACGAUUCAAACAGCAUUUUCUGUACGAGGUCUAGCUGAUAAUUCAUUUAUGUUUAAGCUUGAAAAAAGCAUUACAAGUAUUAACAUUAAGAUUAAUAUAUAUUCAACAGAAUUUGAAAAAUAUAACUUGUCAAUCACUGUCGAUUUGAGACGGGAUUUAUAUGUUUUAUAUUCAAUAACUUCUUAUGACGUCUUUGGUGCUCUUGUUUCAAGAUUGUUGUCUCUUUAUAAUGUACAAUUCCGUAAAACGUAAAUAAAUGUUAAUGUGUUACGUUAAUCAUAUUCCAAUUGAUUUUAAGAUGAACCUUUUGUAAGACUAAUUUAGAUUAAAAUAAAAAUAGGUACGUUGCGUUUAUUGAAUGUAGCACAGUGAGCGACUGAUUUCAAUGGAAAUUAAAUCAAUUGAUUAGUGUUUAACAUUACAUUUAACAGAACACAUGUCUUUCGCAUUUUAUUUUUUUUCAAGACUACUACAAUGUACCCUGAAUAUAACUAGAAUGUAUAUCUACGGUCUGUCAAGAAUCAAGUUAACUGUGCUUCAUGUACAGUUUCAAUUAAGAUACACACUUGACAAUUAGUUAUCAAAAAAAAAAUACAACCCAAAACGUAGAGAAAAAAAUAUUUCAAGCUUAACAUAAUGUACUGACGAAGUCAUGUUUAAAUGUAUUCAACUGUAAUUCAUUGUGUGUAACUUAUACCAGAUAGCAGUUUUCAUAAUGAUUUUGUCGUCAUCACCAUAUGUACAUCAACAGAAAAUAAAUUCUAAUUUUUAUCAUUUUUAACAAUACUCAUUUAUUCAGAUUUCAAUAAACACAUCAUGGUUACGUUAUCAAUACAACUUGUUGUGAAAAUGUAAUGUAUCUUAGAACUUUCUGAAAACGACUUUCCGUAAAGCAAUAAGCUGUCAUUAGUAACAUAUUACUGGAAAUUUUUUUUUUUCCUGUUCGUGUUGUUUGUUAUUAUAAUUAGUCUAUGCAAACGGCUUUGAUUCAAUAACCCACUUACUCCUAAUUGAGAUGUCCGUACUAAUGGAAAAAGAAAACUUGAUUUCAAAUAGCAUUGCAGAAAUUAUAUAUCCAAAGUACAUGAAGUGACAAUUUUUUUUUCUUUUUUGUAUCAUAAUAUCUAAGACCACAAUAUGUUCCUGGGUAAUUACAAAAUGUAAUAAUAAAUUAUAAUAAAUCUUCGUUAGAAUGAUCUCCUGGCGAGUGAAUACGACCAAUGAUCUCAUAACAAGUGAAUACAGGCAAUCAUUUUGAUUUGACUAUCAAUAUAAACAAGCAGUGUAAAAAAAGGCAUUAACCUCCUUGCCAGCGAAUACAAACAAUUACCUCCUUGCCAGCGAAUACAAACAAUUACCUCCUUGCCAGUGAAUACGAACAAUAACCUCCUGAACAAUGAAUACGAACAAUUACCUCCUGACCAGUGAAUACGAACAGUUACCUCCUGGCCGGUGAAAACAAACAAUAACCUCCUUGCCAGUGAAUACGAACAAUAACCUCCUGAACAAUGAAUACGAACAAUUACCUCCUGACCAGUGAAUACGAACAAUUACCUCCUGGCCUGGGAACCGAACAAUAACCUCUUGGCCAGUGAAUGCGAACAAUUACCUCCUUGACUGUGAAAACAAACAAUAACCUCUUUGCCAGUGAAUACGAACAAUAACCUCCUGGCAAAUUAAUACGAACAAUUACCUGAUGGCCAGUGCAUACGAACAAUUGCCUCCUGGCCGGUGAAUACGAACAAUAACCUCCUAGCCAGUGAAUACGAACAAUUGCCUCCUGGCAAGUGAAUACGAACAAUUACCUCCUGGCCAGUGAAUACGAGUGUAGAAAAAAAUAAAAAAUAAAACUAGAUGAAACAAAAAUUAAGUAAGUUUCAAACAAAUGUUGAGUGUCACUAAUAUAUUUUUGAACAGAUUUAAAAAUAGCAAUAUUCAUAUCAUAUGAAAAUAAUUCGUUUCCAAAAAGUAGUAAUUCAAUAUUUAUGUCAACAUUAUCAACAAUUAUGUAAAUGGAAUCAAGAAGGAUCUGUCUUACAUCAUUAUACUUAGGGCAAAUAAAAAAAGAAAUGUCGCUAGGUAAACUCAAUUUGCGACAUUAAAAUCUAUGUUUUACGAAGGACAAUCUCUUAAAUACAAUACAGUUAUCUCCUAAUUUGUGUCGGAAGAAAACUGAAAAGAGCAUUUUAUUUUCAUUGCAAACAAAGACAAACAGAUACACCUAUAUUCUGUUGAUACUAAUACACUGACAGUGUCAUAAGGUCAUGCUUUUCUUAAUGAAUAAAAAGACAAAACAAAUUGUUAUGAAAUUUGCUGUUACCCAAUUUUGGACACUAUUUGAAAUUAAAGAAUGUAUCACCGCAUGCACUGCUCUGGUUUCUUAACCGAAUUUUGCUAAACGUGUGUCCUUUUUUUUAUAGCUCUUAAUCUUUCAAUAAUCUCUGAAUUUUCAAAUAUUUUUGGUCCAGAGCAUCACUGCUGCAUUGAUUGUCAAAAUGCGCAUUUGCUGCCAACAUAAUGGUACAAUUUGAUAUUUUAUGCAACAAAGGCACGACUUUUUUUUCUUUUUUUUUUCUUGCAUAUGAUUAUCUUUGCGUACUGAAAAACACAUCUCAUUUUCGCGAGUCAUUUGUUUUUGCGACUUUUGCAAGUAGAACAAUACCGCGAAUGUAAAUGGUUGCGAAAAAAAUCUUUCAUUAUCUAAUUACAUCUAGUAAAUUCGAAAAUCGCAAAUUCAAAUCGCUUCGAAAAGGAUAAAAAAAUCUCCAAAUGAGAGGGAAAGCAUUCGCAAAAAUAAGUUGGUUUCAGUAAUUGCAUGCUCAUAUCCCUAUAUAAUCUGUCAAUAAUUGAGUUUAUAAUGAAUCGAUGUCCUUAUUAUAUGUCGAAAAAUAAAAUUGUUGUAGUAUUUUGAAGAUUGAUUAUUAUUUGCAAGAUAUGAACUAGACAUACAUUUAGGGACGACAUCAAAAGUUCAAUGUAGGAUAAAAAACUUAAUUCAUAUAGGUUUUUCACUGACCCCCCCCCCCCAAUUCCCCCUCUUAACUUAAUUUGGGAAAAAUUGAUUUACCUAUAUAAAUAUAUGUAAAAUAGAUUCAGGAUUAACAAAACCUGCAGCCAUAUUGACCCCCCACCCCCAAACUAUUUGAUUUAAGUUUUUUAUCCUACAUCGAUCUUAUGCUGUCGUCCCUUACAAGAACAACGUGAUAGACAACUUCAACAAUUGCCUUACAACAUGUUCAAUAAUUUAACAAAAAAUGAUGCAUAACUAAAAGUAAAAAGAAUGCUAACAAAAAUAAAAAAAAUGUUGAUUAAUAAAACCAUAUUUUGUGAUUUAUAAAAAAGAAGAUGUGGUAUGAUUGCCAAUGAGACAACUAUCCACAAAAGACCAAAAUGACACAUACAGUAACAACUAUAGGUCACCGUACGGCCUUCAACAAUGAGCAAAGCCCAUACCGCAUAGUGAGCUAUAAAAGGCCCCGAUAAGACAAUGUAAAAAAAUUCAAACGAGAAAACUAACGGCCUUAUUUAUGUAAAAAAUGAACGAAAAACAAAUAUGUAACACAUAAACAAACGACAACAACUGAAUUACAGGCUCCUGACUUGGACAGGCACAUACAUAAAUAAUGUGGCGGGGUUAAAAUUUGUUAAUUUUGUCUUUAUUGCAAUUAAGACAUACUUUACAUAUUUAUUGUAGGUCGUAAAGAUGCUUAUUAUAGUGGUAUGUUUAUUUGCUUUUUGUUGGCUACCUGUUCAGAUCUACAACUUACUGUUAGUUGUAUACAAGGACAAAGUAAACAAGUAAGUAUGUCUAAUGUACAUUUACAUGUUAAAGAGUAAAAUCACAACUUGAUUUCAGACUCAUAGAUAUGUCAUUAAAAAAUGUAACAAAUAUUUCUUCGGAGAUACUUGUAUAUAAAAACAUUUUAUGAACAUUUCUCAAAAAUGAAUUGAACAUAACUUUCAUAUAAGAAACUACAUUUAAUGCCCAUGAGUUGUAAUGUUUUGUUUUGUAGAUUUGAAUACAUCAAGAUCAUUUGGCUUUGCUCCAAUUGGCUAGCGA
rnacentral:lncRNA from 1 species